GAUGAACGCUGGCGGCGUGCCUAAUACAUGCAAGUCGAGCGAAUGGAUUAAGAGCUUGCUCUUAUGAAGUUAGCGGCGGACGGGUGAGUAACACGUGGGUAACCUGCCCAUAAGACUGGGAUAACUCCGGGAAACCGGGGCUAAUACCGGAUAACAUUUUGAACCGCAUGGUUCGAAAUUGAAAGGCGGCUUCGGCUGUCACUUAUGGAUGGACCCGCGUCGCAUUAGCUAGUUGGUGAGGUUACGGCUCACCAAGGCAACGAUGCGUAGCCGAGCUGAGAGGGUGGUCGGCCACACGGGGACUGAGACACGGCCCAGACUCAUACGGGAGGCAGCAGUAGGGAAUCUUCCGCAAUGGACGAAAGUCUGACGGAGCAACGCCGCGUGAGUGACGAAGGCUUUCGGGUCGUAAAACUCUGUUGUCAGGGAAGAACAAGAGCUAGUUGAAUAAGCUGGCACCUUGACGGUACCUAACCAGAAAGCCACGGCUAACUACGUGCCAGCCGCCGCCGUAA
rnacentral:rRNA from 1 species